rnacentral:rRNA from 1 species
GACGAACGCUGGCGGCGUGCCUAAUACAUGCAAGUCGAACGCAUUUUCUUUCACCGUAGCUUGCUACACCGAAAGAAAAUGAGUGGCGGACGGGUGAGUAACACGUGGGUAACCUGCCCAUCAGCGGGGGAUAACACUUGGAAACAGGUGCUAAUACCGCAUAAUUCCAUUUACCGCAUGGUAGAUGGGUGAAAGGCGCUUUUGCGUCACUGAUGGAUGGACCCGCGGUGCAUUAGCUAGUUGGUGGGGUAACGGCCUACCAAGGCUGCGAUGCAUAGCCGACCUGAGAGGGUGAUCGGCCACACUGGGACUGAGACACGGCCCAGACUCCUACGGGAGGCAGCAGUAGGGAAUCUUCGGCAAUGGACGCAAGUCUGACCGAGCAACGCCGCGUGAGUGAAGAAGGUUUUCGGAUCGUAAAACUCUGUUGUUAGAGAAGAACAAGGAUGAGAGUGGAAAGUUCAUCCCUUGACGGUAUCUAACCAGAAAGCCACGGCUAACUACGUG